rnacentral:rRNA from 1 species
GAUGAACGCUAGCUACAGGCUUAACACAUGCAGGUCGAGGGGCAUCAGGAAGAAAGCUUGCUUUCUUUGCUGGCGACCGGCGCACGGGUGAGUAACACGUAUCCAACCUGCCCUUUACUCGGGGAUAGCCUUUCGAAAGAAAGAUUAAUACCCGAUAGCAUAAUGAUUCCGCAUGGUUUCAUUAUUAAAGGAUUCCGGUAAAGGAUGGGUGUGCGUUCCAUUAGGUUGUUGGUGAGGUAACGGCUCACCAAGACUUCGAUGGAUAGGGGUUCUGAGAGGAAGGUCCCCCACAUUGGAACUGAGACACGGUCCAAACUCCUACGGGAGGCAGCAGUGAGGAAUAUUGGUCAAUGGGCGUUAGCCUGAACCAGCCAAGUAGCGUGAAGGAUGAAGGCUCUAUGGGUCGUAAACUUCUUUUAUAUAAGAAUAAAGUGCAGUAUGUAUACUGUUUUGUAUGUAUUAUAUGAAUAAGGAUCGGCUAACUCCGUGCCAGCAGCCGCAGUAA